rnacentral:rRNA from 1 species
AAGAUUAAGCCAUGCAUGUCUAAGUAUAAGCGAAUUUAUACAGUGAAACUGCGAAUGGCUCAUUAAAUCAGUUAUAGUUUAUUUGAUAGUACCUUUCUACUCGGAUAUCCGUGGUAAUUCUAGAGCUAAUACGUGCUAAAAACCCCGACUGUUUGGGAGGGGUGUAUUUAUUAGAUAAAAAAUCAAUGUCUUCGGACUCUUUGAUGAUUCAUAAUAACUUUUCGAAUCGCAU